GGCUUCCUGGCUUCGUCGGUUAAGGUGCCUGUCUGGUAAACAGGAGAUCCUGGGUUCGAAUCCCAGCGAGGCCU